CCCAGGCACGGUCGGUUGACGUGGUGUAAUUGCUGACGUGUUGAUCUUCUUCUCCUCUGGUCGAUUGUCCUUUCUUGCUGUCUCCUUUGGUCGGUCGUCCCUUCGUGCUAUCAACUUCGGUCGGGCGGGGGAGGGUACCUGCGAAGGCACUCCGACGCUCAAGUAAGUAUGAGAUUCUAAGCGCAGUUUCGUAAGUGAAUCAAAACGUACCUUUCUCUGGCUUGAGCACAGUAUUUAUAGGAUUGCCUAAUGGGCUUUCUAUCCCUUGGGCUCAGGGUGGUUAUGGAUAUGUCUUGUCAGUCGUGCUCCGGAAUACCCGGGGAACAUAUCUUCUCUAAACGCAUAUUCCUUAUUCUUCGGAGGUGUAUCUUAACCACCUUAGCUUGUCACAUAAAUGCCCUUACAUUUA
rnacentral:lncRNA from 1 species